ACGGGAGGCAGCAGUGGGGAGUAUUGGGCAAUGGGCGCAAGCCUGACCCAGCAACGCCGCGUGAAGGACGAAGGUCUCCGGAUUGUAAACUUCUUUGAUUGGGGAAGAAUAAAUGACCUACCCAAAGAACAAGCCACGGCUAACUACGUGCCAGCAGCCGCGGUAAUACGUAGGUGGCAAGCGUUAUCCGGAUUUACUGGGUGUAAAGGGCGUGUAGGCGGCUUUGCAAGUCAGAUGUGAAAUCCCUGAGCUCAACUCGGGCGCUGCAUCUGAAACUGCAAAGCUUGAGUACUGGAGGGGAAAGCGGAAUUCCUAGUGUAGCGGUAAAAUGCAUAGAUAUUAGGAGGAACACCGGUGGCGAAGGCGGCUUUCUGGACAGUAACUGGCGCUGAGGCGCGAAAGCGUGGGGAGCAAACAGGAUUAGAUACCCUGGUA
rnacentral:rRNA from 1 species